CACUGAACUGUAAGGAAUAAUUCUCCAUUCUGAAUAAUUUCCUACUCUUAAGGUUGCCUCCAACGAUCUUCAUGUGGCUCCUUCUCCAUGACACUACCAGUAACUUGCCUCGAACUUGAAAGUCACCAGCUACUUUUUUGUUUUAAUCCUGUCAAUUGAUCGAAUUCGGCACACUGUGAGACUUUCUCUACCAAAAAAAAGAAAUUCCCUCUGGUGUAGAAUCCUUUUCAUCUGCUCUGGAAUCAACCCAAAAACACUGAGAGAAUCCAAAAGAGCUCCCUGUGUCAGAAGCAUCGGCAGUGAUGAUCUUCAGGCACAUGUUGCCUCUACUGAUGAACUUUAAAUGGCUCUUCAGUCAUAUACAUUAUGAAUCGUGACAAAGCCAAUAAUCCCAAGAAGUAUUCAUCUUUGCAGUUGAGCAAGAAAAAUGACAAAAGAAAGAGCUGAAUCUUAACUAUUUCUAUCUAUCAAUAAAUUAGACUAAUUGAUAACUAGUGUUGGUCA
rnacentral:lncRNA from 1 species